UACGAAGGGGGCUAGCGUUGCUCGGAAUCACUGGGCGUAAAGGGUGCGUAGGCGGGUCUUUAAGUCAGGGGUGAAAUCCUGGAGCUCAACUCCAGAACUGCCUUUGAUACUGAAGAUCUUGAGUUCGGGAGAGGUGAGUGGAACUGCGAGUGUAGAGGUGAAAUUCGUAGAUAUUGGGAAGAACACCGGUGGCGAAGGCGGCUCACUGGUCCAUUACUGACGCUGAGGUGCGAAAGCGUGGGGAGCAAACAGG
rnacentral:rRNA from 1 species